rnacentral:tRNA from 3 species
GCUAAAGUGGCAGAGCCCGGACAAUGCAAAAGGCCUAAGCCCUUAAGACAAAAGUUCAAAUCUUUUCUUUAGCU